UACGUAGGUGGCAAGCGUUGUCCGGAGUUAUUGGGCGUAAAGCGCGCGCAGGCGGUGCGGUAAGUCUCUGGUGAAAGCGCUCGGCUUAACUGGGCGAGGGCCGGGGAGACUGCCACGCUGGAGGGGAGCAGAGGCGAGUGGAAUUCCGGGUGUAGUGGUGAAAUGCGUAGAGAUGUGGAGGAACACCGAUGGCGAAGGCAGCCCCCUGGGUCAAAACUGACGCUCAUGCACGAAAGCGUGGGGAGCAAACAGG
rnacentral:rRNA from 1 species